AUUGAACGCUGGCGGCAGGCCUAACACAUGCAAGUCGAGCGAGCGGCGGACGGGUGAGUAAUGUCUUGGAAACUGCCCGAUGGAGGGGGAUCACUACUGGAAACUGUAGCUAAUACCGCAUACUAUCAGAUGAACCCAGAUGGGAUUAGCUAGUAGGGGGGGUAAGGGCUCACCUAGGCGACGAUCUCUCGCUGGGCUGAGAGGAUGACAAGCCAAACGGUGACUGAGACACGGUCCAGACUCCUACGGGAGGCAGCAGUGGGGAUUAUUGCACAAUGGGCGCAAGCCUGAUGCAGCCAUGCCGCGUGUGUGAAGAAGGCCUUCGGGUUGUAAAGCACUUUCAGCGAGGAGGCGUUACUCGCAGAAGAAGCACCGGCUAACUCCGUGCCAGCAGCCGCGGUAAUCC
rnacentral:rRNA from 1 species